rnacentral:rRNA from 1 species
UAGGGAAUAUUGCAAAAUGGGCGAAAGCCCGAUGCAGCAACGCCGCGUGGGCGAUGAAGGCCUUCGGGUCGUAAAGCCCUUUUUGAGGGGAUGAGGAAGGACAGUACCCUCAGAAUAAGCCUCGGCUAACUACGUGCCAGCAGCCGCGGUAAAACGUAGGAGGCGAGCGUUAUCCGGAUUUACUGGGCGUAAAGCGCGUGCAGGCGGAUUGGAGAGUUGGAUGUGAAAGCUCCCGGCUUAACUGGGAGAGGUCGUUCAAUACUUCCAGUCUUGAGUGCAGUAGAGGGCAGUGGAAUUCCUGGUGUAGUGGUGAAAUGCGUAGAUAUCCGGAGGAACACCAGUGGCGAAAGCGGCUUCCUGGACUGUAACUGACGCUCAGACGCGAAAGCCAGGGUAGCAAACG